AUAAGGAUGAAGAAAGACAUCAUUUGGAGUCGCUAUGAUGUGCCUAUAGUGAUUAGUAGAACCAGCUACUUCUGACUGAA
rfam:Capsicum annuum cultivar Zunla-1 chromosome 4, whole genome shotgun sequence